AAGGCUGGGCAAAGUGAAUACCCCGGGCAAAGCGAAUACUCCCCACUACUCCUAAAUUAUUAGUUUGUCAUUCAACACGCCACCGCUGUUAUGUUCGGCCAUCUUGGUUUAGUACGCGGCAAAUUUCAAAGCGAGAGGCCACGUCGCAUUCCGUUCGUGGAGUGAAGAUUUGUGUUUUCGUAGAUAAAAGAUUGAUUUUACGCGAUGGUGAAUAAAUAUAAAAAAAAACUAAGCAAGGGACGUGGGAUGAAAAUGCUAUGCAAACGGCUAUUAAUUUGUGCAAAGCUGGAGAAUCAAUAAAAAGCACAGCUAAAAAGUAUGGUUUGGCUUAUGCAACCUUGUAUAGGCAUGUAAAAACCGGCAUCGCUGCUUCAAAACUUGGGCGAUUCGAACAGUACCCCGAUCAAGGAAGAUCAAAAGCAAAAAUAUGAGAAAAAUAAAGUUAAGAGUGUUACUAAAAGACUGGAUGAUAAGUCAAAAAAUGUUCCAAAGAAGACUAAUACAAAGACUGACAAAGACAAAAAAAAUGCUAAAAAGGUUAAACAGCCAAAGCAAAUGGAAGAAUUUAAGGAUAUUUUAUGCUUUUUCUGCGGUGAAUUAUAUAUUGAAGAAGACGGUAAACCAAUUGAAGAUUGGAUUCAAUGUGACACUUGUCAACAAUGGUGUCACGAAGCUUGUUCAGCUUUUGAUGGCAAUCAGGGUUAUACCUGUGACAAUUGCCAAUCUUAAUUUUUUAAUUUUAUGGUCAAGUUAAUUUUUUUUUUUUUUUUUAUCAAAGUUAUUUCUAUGUUUUCAGAGAUUAAACAUGGGUAUUCACUUUGCCCAAGGACUGUGUUCGCUUUACCCGGGGUACCGGGUAAAGCGAAUACUUUCGUACUUUUUGAAAAUUUAAUUGCAGUUAAUUAUUGUUUAAAUAUUAAUGGUAACUGAUGUUCGUAUUUGUAAGAGCAAUAAAUAAAGACUGAUUUGUGAUACUUA